UACGUAGGGUGCAAGCGUUAUCCGGAAUUAUUGGGCGUAAAGAGCUCGUAGGCGGUUCGUCGCGUCCGCUGUGAAAACCGGGGGCUCAACCCCCAGCCUGCAGUGGGUACGGGCAGACUAGAGUGCGGUAGGGGAGAUUGGAAUUCCUGGUGUAGCGGUGGAAUGCGCAGAUAUCAGGAGGAACACCGAUGGCGAAGGCAGAUCUCUGGGCCGUAACUGACGCUGAGGAGCGAAAGCAUGGGGAGCGAACAGG
rnacentral:rRNA from 1 species